rnacentral:rRNA from 1 species
UACGAAGGUGGCAAGCGUUGUUCGGAUUUACUGGGCGUAAAGGGCUCGUAGGCGGCCAACUAAGUCAGACGUGAAAUCCCCAGGCUCAACCUGGGAACUGCGUCUGAUACUGGAUGGCUUGAAUCCGGGAGAGGGAUGCAGAAUUCCAGGUGUAGCGGUGAAAUGCGUAGAUAUCUGGAGGAAUACCGGAGGCGAAGGCGGCUACCUGGACAAUUGCUGACGCUCAGGCACGAAAGCGUGGGGAGCAAAAGGG